rnacentral:tRNA from 1 species
UCCCUGGCAGUACAGUGGUUAGGACUUGGCACUUGAACUGCCUAGGGCCCGGGUUCAAUCCCUGGUCAGGGAA